UUCCUAUGAUGAGCUUGCCAUGCUAAUACCGAUGCACCAGGCUGACUGGGUGUACAUGAGUUCAACUCAACUUCUCACACUCCCAGUGUGCUCUGAUGGAA